UUCUCCCUGUAUCGCUACUUUCCCCCUGCUGCACCUGUGAAUACCGACCAUUAACAUUGAAAUUCAUUCUUCUCCUUUUCUAAUAUCACCACCAUCGAAGUAUCUUUCUGUCUGUAGAACCCCCAAAGCAAAACCUAAUGGUCGUUGCAGCUGGUCCGAUCUCCUUGAUGUCUGUAAGAAGAGGAAAUCAAGAAAUUAUCAUGGGUUUUCAUUAUUGAGAGUUAAGAAGAGGAAUUUGAAAUUGAUUCUCAAAUUACAGCGAAGGAAUUAGAGGAUUAGGUUUCGUUUUACGUCUAAGAUUAAGAAGCUAAUUGAGAAAACUAGGGUUUUGUUUGUGCUACAAAUCGAAGAAUUAAACGGAGUCAAUAAACAGGUUUGUCUUAAUUAGGUUUAGAAUUGGUUUAUUAAUGGAUUCGAGUUAUAUGGAUUAGGGUUUAUAACAGAUUGGGGAUUUAGGGUUCAUGGAUUUGAAUUACAGAUGAAAAAGAUGAAACUGAUGGUGAGAAAUUAUAAGAAGAAAAUUGAGUUUGUGUCUGAGGUAAUCUUUCUUACGCAUUUGGAAUGAAUUUCUUUCAUGAACUUGUAUUAUCAAAUUUGGGUAUUGUUAUGUUCAAUUUUGAAUUGAAAAUUUGGUGGAAAUGGAGUUGAGUUUCUAGUGGUGUGUAGAUGAUUCUUAGUUUAAAUUGUCUAUUAUAGGAAAAAGUUUUUAGAGGAGGAUAAUUGUUGCAGGUGGUGGUGGUUUAAUGAGCUACAGAACUAUGAAGAUUGUGAUGGUGAUGGAAUUGAAAUAAUAGUUCGGUUGAUGUGGUCUUAAAUGAGCUACAAGAGUUGAUCUUAGUUUGGUUUAGAUUGUAAUGAUUUGAAUGGUGAUGGAUGAGUAUUGGUUGUGCUGAGAUGCUUUUGAUGAUGAUGCUAUGGUCAGUCAUAAUAGUUGUGACUGAAAGAUAUUGAAAUGAAUAAUGUUGCUGCUAUGAAGAUGGUGCUUUAAAUGUCUAUGUGGCUGAAUGAUAGUGAUGUGAAGGAAUGACGCUAAUCUGAAGAGAUUUGAAAUGUUCAUAAAUUUUAGGUCAAGAUCUUGAAACAUGAGUGGCCAGCUAGGUGGUGAAAUUUUAUUCGGGAUCUUGUUUCAGUAGCGAAGACAAGUGAAACAAUAUGUUAGAAUUUCAUGGCUGUAUUAAAGUGAGUUUCAACUUAUUUACGAGCUAUGCCUAUAUGUGCCAUCUGCAUCUCAAAGAACUGAGAUAUAAGAGCAACACUGGCUACGUUGCACGCCCCACUGGGUAUGGCAGCGUAUAGGAAUCUUACUCUCCAAUGUUUGUCUGAGGUAGCUGCCCUUCAGUUUAGAGACUUCUAUAACAUGAAGUAUGUGAAAAUGUACACUGUUUUCAUUUCACAAUUACAGCCUUGUAGGGAUGGAGGUUGAGACUAACAUAUUGAGUUUAAUGCUGGAGAUGAGGUGGUGGUGUUCAGUUCAUGUAGUAAACAUGCUUAUAUUUCCCAGCAACUGAAGACUGAGAGCAUCACUAGUCAGCUCUGCCUUCUUCACCAGGCUUAGCAGAAGCACAUGGUCUGCAUUUUGAAGCUAGGUCCAAGACCCAACUGUGGCUGGAGCAUCAAUAUAAGCCUUUCUUUCAAAUCUUAGAAAAGAUUUAAUGCUUCUUCCUCUUACCCAAAGAUCCCUCUAUUGUAGAGACACUACUUCCAAAACACAUAAGGUCUUAUUUUCGUAGUUGAAAGUAAUGACAGAGACCGUGUUAUUGAGGCAAGGGAUGAACUGCAGACGAAGUUUAGUGAGUUAGUGUUUUUAUCACCUUGCUUGGUGCUGACUUCAUGAGAAUGGAAUCUUUCGGCAAAGUUGAAGAGGUUGCGGAGACUCUGGUAAGUAGUAGUGAUUUUUUGCUUUAAAUGAAGUUUCCUCGCUCGUUUGAUAUUGGACUGUUGUUAUUCUUAUUUGAGAAGUCGAAAUCUAUUUGAUGAACAUGUUAGUAAACUAGAUAGAAGUUGGAAAAAGGGCAUUUGCAAGACUUGCCGCAUGCAAAAUUCUCAAACGUAGGUAGAAGAUAACGGAGAAGAACAUGAAGAGCAUGGAACCCAAGAAGAAGAGGCUGUUGAUGUCGAUGUUGAUUCUACAGAUGGCGCUAUUGUUACAAUUCUUUUUGACAAUGGCUACUCUCAUGGUGUACAUUGGUUUUGCAGGUCACAGAUAUGAGUAGUAAGUGCGCCUAUUUACAAGGUUGGUUAUGAAGCAACAAGAAGUUAUACUUGUUUGAGCAUGUAGGUAAUGAAUGUUGAGCUUGUCUCCAGUCUUGUGCCUUUAAGAUUGUAUCUACUACUGCUAUUACACUUCACAUUACAACUGCAACUGCAAAAUUUCUAUGUUAUGAAAACUUAGAAAAUGUUUACAUACUUGUCAUUUUAUUGAUACUACGCACAGAAUUUGUAUGUCCUUGGAACUUAAGAAAUAUUUCUAGCUACAGAUUGGAACUUAAGAAAUUUAUAUGU